ACACAUGCAAGUCGAGGGGCAGCAUCAUCAAAGCUUGCUUUGAUGGAUGGCGACCGGCGCACGGGUGAGUAACACGUAUCCAACCUGCCGACAACACUGGGAUAGCCUUUCGAAAGAAAGAUUAAUACCGGAUGGCAUAGUUUUCCCGCAUGGGAUAAUUAUUAAAGAAUUUCGGUUGUCGAUGGGGAUGCGUUCCAUUAGGCAGUUGGCGGGGUAACGGCCCACCAAACCUACGAUGGAUAGGGGUUCUGAGAGGAAGGUCCCCCACAUUGGAACUGAGACACGGUCCAAACUCCUACGGGAGGCAGCAGUGAGGAAUAUUGGUCAAUGGACGAGAGUCUGAACCAGCCAAGUAGCGUGAAGGAUGACUGCCCUAUGGGUUGUAAACUUCUUUUAUACGGGAAUAAAGUGAGCCACGUGUGGCUUUUUGUAUGUACCGUAUGAAUAAGGAUCGGCUAACUCCGUGCCAGCAGCCGCGGUAAUACGGAGGAUUCGAGCGUUAUCCGGAUUUAUUGGGUUUAAAGGGAGCGUAGGCGGGUUGUUAAGUCAGUUGUGAAAGUUUGCGGCUCAACCGUAAAAUUGCAGUUGAUACUGGCGACCUUGAGUGCAACAGAGGUAGGCGGAAUUCGUGGUGUAGCGGUGAAAUGCUUAGAUAUCACGAAGAACUCCGAUUGCGAAGGCAGCUUACUGGAUUGUAACUGACGCUGAUGCUCGAAAGUGUGGGUAUCAAACAGGAUUAGAUACCCUGGUAGUCCACACAGUAAACGAUGAAUACUCGCUGUUGGCGAUAUACAGUCAGCGGCCAAGCGAAAGCAUUAAGUAUUCCACCUGGGGAGUACGCCGGCAACGGUGAAACUCAAAGGAAUUGACGGGGGCCCGCACAAGCG
rnacentral:rRNA from 1 species